rnacentral:tRNA from 1 species
GCGGGUGUGGCGGAACUGGUAGACGCGUAAGAUUCAGGUUCUUAUGUUCGUAAGGAUGUGCAGGUUCAAGUCCUGUCACCCGCA